rnacentral:rRNA from 1 species
GACGAACGCUGGCGGCGUGCCUAAUACAUGCAAGUAGAACGCUGAAGAGAGGAGCUUGCUCUUCUUGGAUGAGUUGCGAACGGGUGAGUAACGCGUAGGUAACCUGCCUUGUAGCGGGGGAUAACUAUUGGAAACGAUAGCUAAUACCGCAUAACAAUGGAUGACACAUGUCAUUUAUUUGAAAGGGGCAAUUGCUCCACUACAAGAUGGACCUGCGUUGUAUUAGCUAGUAGGUGAGGUAAUGGCUCACCUAGGCGACGAUACAUAGCCGACCUGAGAGGGUGAUCGGCAACACUGGGACUGAGACACGGCCCAGACUCCGACGGGAGGCAGCAGUAGGGAAUCUUCGGCAAUGGGGGCAACCCUGACCGAGCAACGCCGCGUGAGUGAAGAAGGUUUUCGGAUCGUAAAGCUCUGUUGUAAGUCGAGAACGGGUGUGAGAGUGGAAAGUUCACACUGUGACGGUAGCUUACCAGAAAGGGACGGCUAACUACGUG